UACGUAGGGGGCGAGCGUUGUCCGGAUUCAUUGGGCGUAAAGAGCUCGUAGGCGGCUUGGUAAGUCGGGUGUGAAACCCCCAGGCUCAACCUGGGGCAGCCACCCGAUACUGCUAUGGCUUGAGUCCGGUAGGGGACCACGGAAUUCCUGGUGUAGCGGUGAAAUGCGCAGAUAUCAGGAGGAACACCGGUGGCGAAGGCGGUGGUCUGGGCCGGAACUGACGCUGAGGAGCGAAAGCGUGGGGAGCAAACAGG
rnacentral:rRNA from 1 species